GGUGGGCUGGCCCGCGAUCCGGUCCCCGCCGCAGCACUGCCAGCCGAUCUGGGAGCUGGGAGCGCUUCGCACGCCGCCCGGGGCGCCUGGUGGAGAGAAUUUGGAGCAAUGGUUUCCGAGUUCUUUCAAUUACGCAAACAAAGCGUACUCAUUACGGACGAUUAGGUGACAACGUCUCUUGCAGGUGACCUCUGAUGUCCUAGCAAAUGGCAUUGUCCACUGUGGUGCUGAAAAGGUACUCCCGAGGCUCCGGCAGCGACUGGGAUACCACAGGCUUGGUUCGCGCCCUGCUGGGUGGAGCCUGAGCGGCGGUGAUGCCUCCAGGCAGGUGGUACGCUGUCCACCCAGCUCAGGCCCAGGCUUCCAGGGAGCGAGCGCGCCUUCAGGUGAUAAAGAAAGAAGAGGAGGAUGAAGGCUACACUUCAGUGCAGACUGCUAGGCCCCAGACACUCAACCGCCCUGGUCAGGAGCUGUUCCGCCAGCUUUUCAGGCAGCUUCGCUACCAUGAGUCCUCCGGGCCCCUUGAGACGCUGAGCCGGCUGCGGGAGCUCUGCCGCUGGUGGCUGAGGCCGGACGUUCUCUCCAAGGAGCAGAUCCUGGAGCUGCUGGUGCUGGAGCAGUUCCUGAGCAUCCUGCCUUGCGAGCUCCGGACCUGGGUGCAGCUGCAUCACCCCGAGAGUGGCGGAGAGGCUGCGGCCCUGCUGGAGGAACUGCAGAGAGACUCCCACGGGACACCAUGGACGGACCCAGCCCCUGCCCAUAGCCCGGAUGUGCACUGGAUGGGCACAGGAGCCCUGCGCGCCGAGCAGUCAUGGCCCUCCACACCGCCUCUCAGGAGCAGCUCCACUCUGGGGGACUGCCUGGAGCCUCCCUCUGAAACAGGAGUGCGUGACUUCCUGGCUGGGCAACCCGAUCCUCCAGCUGCCCAGGUGCCUGCCCUUUCCCAGGGAGAGGGGUGCCCAGAAGACAGGGGGGCAGCCCAGCCUCAGGAGGCUCUGACUUUCAAGGAUGUGGAGGUGACCUUCUCUCAGGAUGAGUGGGGGUGGCUGGCCCCUGCUCAGAGGAACCUGUACAGGGACGUGAUGCUGGAGAACUACGGGAACCUGGCUUCUCUGGUGGGGCCGCUCGCCAAGCCUGCGCUGAUCUCCUGGUUGGAGACAAGGGAACCGUGGGGCCUGAACAUCCAGGGAGUGCAGCCUAAGGGCGACCCAGGGGCUGCCCCUGCAGGAGGUGAGCUCCAGAUUAAAACAAACAAGCUCAUCUUAAAUCAGGAGCCUGUGGAAGAAGCAGAAACCUCGGCUGUGUCGUCAGGAUGUCACAUGGUGAGGGUGUCGGAGGAGACCGGGCCAGGAGAGCCUUUGGAAGUGCAGAGCAGCCUGCAGGAGCGGUGUGGUGACCCCACGCCAGUGAGUGUUAAGAAAAAGGAGACCAGCUUCAGUCUCAAGACAGAAGAAUCGGGGGAACCGGAAGGCAGCAGUGGCCUUGAUCUCAAACACGUGGUGUAUUUGCGAGUUCCCAGGAGAAAGCGAGCCCUGAAGCGUGGCUGCGGCUGGCACUUCCGGGGUGGCGCCUACCAGCUAGACUGCAGGGAGUACGGCAGGGGCCUCAGGCGCCUGAUCGGCGUGUUGGGCCUGCGCCAGAGGCUGCACGCCACGCUGAAGGGGGUUGCGAAGGACAUGCACGCGAAGGACUUCCUGAGCUCCUGUCUCCAGUGGAGUCUGCACGGGGUGGGGAUGCUGUACAAGUGCAGCGACUGUGGCAGGACCUUCGGUCACCGCUCCCACCUUGCGCACCACCAGAGGCUCCACACGCAGGAGAAGCCCUUUAAGUGUCGGGUGUGUGGGAAAGCCUUCAGGUGGAGCUCGAACCGCGCGCGACACGAGAGAAUUCACACUGGGCUGAAGCCUUAUAAGUGCGGUUUGUGUGACAAGGCCUUCCAACGUGUGUAUGCCUACCAUCUGCACCAGGAGACCCAUGCGAGUCAGAAACUUCUGGAAUCUCCACAGUGUGAGGAAGUGCGCCCGUACGGCUCAAGGUUGGAUCAUGUGCAGGAGCAGAGCAGGGAGAGUCUCUUCGACUGCAGCCAGUGUCGGAAGUCCUUCCACUGCAAGUCAUAUAUCCUUCAGCAUCAAAGGAUCCACACCCAGGAGAAACCCUACAAAUGCACCAAAUGCAGGAAAACCUUUAGGUGGAGGUCCAACUUUUCUCGCCAUAAGAGGAUGCACCAGGAAGACAAGUUCUGUAACAAAGAUACCCGCGGAGAAGACCCCCGGGAGCCCCCUCUUGGCAGCCAGCCCCCGAGCGCCCCCGCGGUGGAGAAAGCGUUCCUCUGUCAGCAGUGCGGGCGAACCUUCCCAGGGAAGAAGUCUCUCCUCAACCACCAGCGGGUCCACGCGGGCCGGGAGCCCUACCGCUGCGGCGAGUGUGCCAAAGACUUCGCCCACAGGUCGGCCUUCCUCGUGCACAAGAAGCAGCACACCCUGAAGAGAGAAGCCACCCUGAAGAGAGAAGCCGAGGCUGCGCCCCCCCUCGCCCCUGAGGGGGGGCUCCUAGGCCAUCCCAGCAGCCAGGCCGCAGAGGAGCGCUUCAAGUGCAGCCACUGCGGCAAAGCCUUCCGCAACCACUCGUUCCUCCUCAUCCACCAGCGGGUGCACACACGCGAGAAGCCGUACAAGUGCCAGGAGUGCGGGAAGGCCUUCCGGUGGAGCUCCAACCUGUCCCGCCACCAGCGGAGCCACUCGCUGGGCAAGCUGUUCGUGUACCAUAACAGCGGUGGCGCCGUGGACGUGCAGCAGCAGGUCCUCAUCGGCGAGAAGCCCUUCUGGUGCCAGGAGUGUGGGAAAACCUUCACCCGCAAGAGGAGCCUCAUGGACCACAAGGGCAUCCACAGUGGGGAGAAGCGCUACAAGUGCAACCUGUGCGAGAAGUCCUACGACAGGAACUACCGCCUCGUCAACCAUCAGAGGAUCCACACCAAGGAGAAGCCCUUCAAGUGCCAGUGGUGCGGGAAGGACUUCAUCGGAAGGCACACCCUCUCCAUCCACCAGAGAAAACACACCCGGGCGGCCGAGGCACCACCCUCCCAGGACACAGGGGCGACUUCGCAGGAGUUGAAGCCGAGUGAGGAGACGCCCCUGGAGGCCCGAGAGGGAGUGUGCGAGAGGAGCACCAGUCCUGCCGGCCCCCAGGACACGCCCACGGGGAAGAAGAGUCACAGAUGCAGCACCUGUGGGAAGACUUUCAGCAAGACCUCACAGCUCAUCAGCCACAAGAGGUUUCACACGCGCGAGAGGCCCUUCAAGUGCUCAGAGUGUGGGAAGACCUUCAGGUGGUCUUCCAAUUUGGCCCGGCACAUGAAAAGGCACAUUGGUGAUUAGCCGGGAGCCUGGCGAUGGGAGGAAGUUGGCAGGGGAAGCCGCAGUUGUAGGAGGUGCGGGCACAACCUUCACAGAGUGCCCGGCCCUGCCUGUUUCAGAAGUGAGUCACAGAGCCUCUUGAGGGUUCAGAAACUCGGGGUGGCCCCCAUCCUACCCACUGGGCGGUGAGAUUCUCCUUAGUGACCUUCUAGAGACUCGGGCCCUCGGUAGCGGCCUUCGUUCAAUGGCCUGCCCGGAGCUCCCCAAGCUGGGUCUUCUUCCAUAGCUGUACCGGGAGAGACCGGCACCCUUUCAUCUGACACGGUGUGUGUGGCAUGGUGGGAAGGGGCCGGUGGGGUCCUAGGCUCCCCCUGGGUCUGACCUGUUGGCACGGUGCCUGUUCUGUUUGACCUUGUAAGCGUGAAGCAGCUCUAACUCCUGCCAGUGUGGCCCAGGAGCCUCCUGCGGAGUUCUGCCCGUGGCCUCCGCCCUCACAGCCAGCUUUGGAUGUCUGCUGUGGGCGGCAUGCGGAGGGGAGCAGCGUCCGGGCCUCCUCCCUGCAGAAGGGAGCGUGCUGUGCCUCCUUACCACCUCCCUGCCUCGGGCAGGGCUGUGCCAAGCCCCCCACACUCCAGGGUGUCCUGUGAGCCAGAGGCCCAGCAGGACCAGGACAGAGAAAAAAAUUGUGGUCUGGGGUCAUGACAGACGAUAAACAUGUGAGAUACAUAGAGUGGUUGGUAUGUGUGUUGUGGACACAUGAACCAGAGGAGAGGGUGUGCUGGAUUUUGAGGCGGGUUGCAAUUUUAAGUAGUCUGGUUGUGAAGGGCCUCAAAAGAGAAGGUGUAAUUGGAGCAAAGACCUGCAGGAGGUCAGGGAGGGAGCCCUGUAGGUGUUAGAACCAGGCACAGGAGGUGGGCUCUUGGCUGGUGUCCUUGGGAGUGACAGGAGGCCCCUGCACCAGGGUGGGGUGAGCCGAGCCGGCCGGGGGAGAGGGGCCCAGGGAGGUGCUGGCCAAGCCUCGUGAGUGUCAGGUGCACUUGAACAGUUUGAGUUGAGGAGUGAUGUGCUCCGAAUGCGAGUUACCUUUUACAAGAGUUAGCCACAGACCCAAGGACUCGGUGAAAUGACAGAGCUGAAAAUUUCGUGUGCUGCCAGUUUCCGAGAGUAGACUCCCCGCCCCACCAAGUGUCUGGAUGUUCUGCCAGUGCCGCAGCUCUCAGCAGAUGUGAGCAGCUGUGGACCGCAGCCUCACGCCCCAGCCCAGGCCCCAGCCCGUCUUUCCCUGAGCCUCCUCUCUGUAAGCCCUCUCCCCCGGCCCCACCUCUCCUGGUACCUGUGUUGUUUGGGUUUGCAAACAUUUCACCCCCCACUGCAGUCAGCGAGGCCAGGGUCCAGCGCUUGUUUGUCUGGCUGCCACACAGAAGAGGUUUUGCACAGUUGCCUCUGUGAAGGACUCCAGAGCUGAAUUUAGUUUAUAGGUAAGUCUUGAUUGGAAGUUUUUGAAAGGGCCCCCUACUCCCCAGUGAAAUGAUGAUGGGAGGGUGCCAGUGGAUAGUGUCGGGCUGCCCCAGCCUCACUUCUCACCUUGCACCCCACUCUGGUUGGGGGACACCCCUUUUUUCAACCUGCUCCACCUUCUCUCACUCUCAGGAGGAACUGGAGUUUGGGCUGAAGAGAGCCAGGUGGGCGGGGACUGCACUGGGAGCGGGGCGGGCACAGGCCUGUCAGUCAGCUCCUCCCUGCGCGCUCAGCCCCGCCCCUGCUGACCGGGACCAGCUGCUCCGGCCAGUCGCGGUUGCAGGCAGAGGAGAAAGCACAGGAAAUGAAUCCUGGACCUGCCUUCUAUGUGACGCGACUUAGAAUGAGUCACAGUCUCUCCAGGCUCCUCCCUUGCAGAAAUUGGGAGCAACACAAACAGCCUGGGUAAUGGAAGGGCUAAGCCAGGCCGAUACGUAUAGAUGGAGUACCAUGUGCCUUAGACAUGGUGUCCCCCACGUGUUGACAUGUGAUCUCCACAAUGUGCAGCUCACAGGAAGGUGUAAGCUCUCUUUCCUUCGUUCCUCCUUUCCCUAUAGUAACCAGGAAAGCCAGAAGCCACCGACUCGUUUUAGUGACGAGAUGGGCUCUGGACAGAGAUGCACAGUCAUUCAUUCCGCCCUGUUAGGGAAGUGAGGAAAGGUUCGAGUACCCACUACCACAGCUCUUAAGUGUCAGCCAGGUUCUUGUCAGGAGCCAGAAACCAUAGCGAUAAUUUUAAAAGCGUGUACAGAGUUCUUUGUUAGAUGCAUGUAACUAAAAGGCAGGAAGUGCGAAGGUGGCAGGAGGGUAGUGACUGCGAGAAGCAGCUGGGUGAGCUCAUUUUUGAUGUUUGACCGUUGGUAACUUUGGUUAACUUUCGAGCGCUGUUCCUUACACCUGGGCAAGCUGAUAGAAAGCCAGGUGCUCCUUCUCAGCUCCUGAGAGGGGGUUUAUGCAAACUCCAGGACCCCUCCCCUUAACCACAGUGAAUACCAGACCUGCUCACCCCUCCUUUCAUUCAAGGUAAACCAGCUGGUGUGGGUGUCUGUCCCUUCCCCAGAGAGCCUGGUUAUGGGAAUAAUUCACUUUUCUGUAACCUCUUGAUGUGUGUGAUGGCCGUAGUCUUGACAUCUGAACCAGUCCAGGUGGUGAUGGAGUAUUCACCCCACCACUACCGUGCAAGCUAUAAAGCUUGAUAGAAGGGGAUAGAAGGAGUUAGAAUUGUUCGAAGGUGAGAUGUGGGAAGAGAACCCCUGCAGAUGCAGACCUGUGAGGAGGAGGGCCUGCCCAAACCUGCAGGGUGGGGCUGGAGGCUUGGGAGAGCCUCUGCUCCAGUCUGAAGCCCGUCUGGGGGAGGCGGCUUUGUCUGGGAGGGCCGGUCUUUUUGUUCUAUUCAGGCCUUCAACUGAUUGGAUGAGGCCCAUCCAGAUUAUGGAGAGUGAUGUGCUUUAUUCACAGUCCAUGAGUUUUAAACAUUAAUCCAAAAACACCCAGAGAAAAACCCUAACGUCAGGCAGCUCCUGUGGGGGUUUACGGCCCAGGCAAAUAGAGGUGAAAUUAAUUGUUACACUCCCCCAGCAUCAUAGGCGUCCUCUCCUGUUCUUGGAUCACAGCACCAUUGGCGCCGCCCAGAGGUGUGUUGCCCAGAGAUUUCCAGCCCAUCACAGGCACCCACAGAAGGGCACACAUUUCAGGCUCUGGAGAGAAGCGGCAGGUGGUGCGGGAGGCUCUGUGCUCCACGUGGGUGGAGGUUUGCUGGGAUGUCAUGUACCCACACAAACGAAGGUAGAGGCCUGUUGCUUGACUCCAGCUGACUUGUCCACAUCUAAAGCAGAGGUGAAGACCUAGGAGAGUUCUCCAUCCACCCCUCACCCAGCAUGGGUUUCAGGAAACCCCACGGGUGGGCUGCAGUCAACUGGCCCACCUGCCCCGUGGGGGCACAGCUUCCCACAGACACCAGCUUUUCCAGGGCCACGAGAGGCGUAAUCUGUCGCAACUUAAUUUCAGUAAGAAACACACAGGACAUCUCCAAGUGGUCCACUCCCCAUGCUCUAUGAACUCAGGGGUUCUGCUUCUCUCAUAGGUGUGAAGUGAUGACCCUGCUGGGUGCGCUCUGGCAGCCCUUGCCUUCUGGCUUAGGGUAGGGUUCAAGGUUUGAUACCGGGUGGAGAAGGUGGGUCUGACGGAGCAGCCGAGGGAAGGGUGUGUGCCCCAAGGCCGUGCUCAGUGGAUUGAGGAGGGAAGAAGCCGGGUUCACUGGGCUGUGAAGGGAGGAAGCACCAGGAGGAGUGUGUGUGUGUG